GCGGCGGACGGGUGAGUAACACGUGGGCAACCUGCCCUGUAGAUUGGGAUAACUCCGGGAAACCGGGGCUAAUACCGAAUAAUCCAUUUCCUCACAUGGGGAGAUGUUAAAAGACGGUUUCGGCUGUCACUACAGGAUGGGCCCGCGGCGCAUUAGCUAGUUGGUGAGGUAACGGCUCACCAAGGCGACGAUGCGUAGCCGACCUGAGAGGGUGAUCGGCCACACUGGGACUGAGACACGGCCCAGACUCCUACGGGAGGCAGCAGUAGGGAAUCUUCCACAAUGGACGAAAGUCUGAUGGAGCAAUGCCGCGUGAGUGAAGAAGGUUUUCGGAUCGUAAAACUCUGUUGUGAGGGAAGAACAAGUACGAGAGUAACUGCUCGUACCUUGACGGUACCUCAUUAGAAAGCCACGGCUAACUACGUGCCAGCAGCCGCGGUAAUAC
rnacentral:rRNA from 1 species